ACGUUAAUCUGGUGUUGAGAAUUUCGUGAUCAACAAAACGAUUUCUCCGGAGCGAGAUCUCUUACCAUUGCACUACAGUUUAGAAUUGACCUCUGUGAACAUUCAUAACAUGGAUAUGUCAAACACAUAAUUUUUGAUAGUCGGGACUGCAUUCACGCUGUUCCGGA
rfam:Camponotus floridanus CamFlo_1.0_1.contig3171, whole genome shotgun sequence.